rnacentral:misc_RNA from 1 species
GGUUAGCUCACAUUUUUGAAGCUUUUGCAGCAGGGCAUCACAAAAAAGUAUCUAUUUUAUUUUAUUCAUCCUCUUCAAGAUAGGAUAUAUAUGCAAAUAAAAUAUAGAGAAAAGUAUACUCGGAAGCAUUUCAUUUUUAUAUCUAAUUUAAAAAUCGAUACAAUCAAUCAAAAAAGCCUCAUUUCCUUGUAAACAGAAGCAUUGGUGAAAACAAGACACCAGACUCCCCAGGAAAAUCAAAAGAAUCAAUGAUGGGUCUGCGACAAAAGAACCAGAUCCAGUAUCAGCUCUAUACACUUUCCAGGGCAUUCAUUCCCUAGUAAAGGCCCUUUCCCCGUUAAGAAAUUUUGAUUAAAAAGAAAAGUUGGAAGUUGAUUAAUCUGGUAUGAAAUGGGGCAAUUUUAAAGCUCUAGCAUUCCUCUGCCACACAAGACAAAUCUCCAUCAAUGAGCGUGUAAAAGUUGCAGGGGAUGGCACAAGAUAAGAAUGAGCGAAUUUUGGAAAUUUCUAACAAAUCACAAGAAUAUCUCCUUGAGGAUUAGUAGGACCAACAUGAUAAAGCACAUGAUAACAAGCACCGUUGCACACAUCACCAUCCCUCCU